AUUACGAGUUGGUCAUAAAUGGACGCUUUGGAUCGUUAGAUCCGGAUCCAAUACCUUCUUGUUAAAAUUGUAUGGAGGCGAAAUGUUCGAAUCUUUAUUCUUUUGAAAAGAAGAAAGAAUCACAAAGUUGUUGAGGCCAAUUCACUUAGAUGUUAGUGGCACUUGUCCACAAACAUAAAUACUACUCAUGUUGAUAACAUUCACCGAAGAUCACUCUCGGUUGGACUAUAGUUUAUUUUGAAUAAACACAAGUCCGAAUACUUUGCAAAAUGUUCCAAAGAAUUCAAGAAAUGUAAGUUGAUGAGUAAGACGUCUAAAGUAUUUACCUCCUUAGAUUUGAUCCAAGAUAAGGUAACACUUUAGAACAGUUUCCUUGAAAGAUAUCAAGGAAAUAAGCAUCAUAAGAUAAUGUAUUUCUCCAUUAGGAGAAGAACGAACUUGAAUAAGAUUUAGUUCGUUAGAUAUUAUCUAUUACCCAUAUAUAGGAUAUAUACUUCUAAAACAAUAUGAUUGUCAAUGAGAAGAUCUUCCAAUAU
rnacentral:lncRNA from 1 species